rnacentral:rRNA from 1 species
GAUGAACGCUGGCGGCGUGCCUAAUACAUGCAAGUCGAGCGAACAGACGAGGAGCUUGCUCCUCUGACGUUAGCGGCGGACGGGUGAGUAACACGUGGAUAACCUACCUAUAAGACUGGGAUAACUUCGGGAAACCGGAGCUAAUACCGGAUAAUAUAUUGAACCGCAUGGUUCAAUAGUGAAAGACGGUUUUGCUGUCACUUAUAGAUGGAUCCGCGCCGCAUUAGCUAGUUGGUAAGGUAACGGCUUACCAAGGCGACGAUGCGUAGCCGACCUGAGAGGGUGAUCGGUCACACUGGAACUGAGACACGGUCCAGACUCCUACGGGAGGCAGCAGUAGGGAAUCUUCCGCAAUGGGCGAAAGCUUGACGGAGCAACGCCGCGUGAGUGAUGAAGGUCUUCGGAUCGUAAAACUCUGUUAUUAGGGAAGAACAAAUGUGUAAGUAACUAUGCACGUCUUGACGGUACCUAAUCAGAAAGCCACGGCUAACUACGUG